rnacentral:rRNA from 1 species
UACAGAGGUCUCAAGCGUUGUUCGGAUUCAUUGGGCGUAAAGGGUGUGUAGGUGGCGCCGUAAGUCGGGUGUGAAAUUUCGGAGCUUAACUCCGAAACUGCAUUCGAUACUGCGGUGCUUGAGGACUGGAGAGGAGACUGGAAUUUACGGUGUAGCGGUGAAAUGCGUAGAUAUCGUAAGGAAGACCAGUGGCGAAGGCGGGUCUCUGGACAGUUCCUGACACUGAGACACGAAGGCCAGGGGAGCAAACGGG